rnacentral:rRNA from 1 species
UGAGACCGAUAGUAAACAAGUACCGUGAGGGAAAGUUGAAAAGAACUCUGAAUAGAGAGUUAAAUAGUACGUGAAACUGCUUAGAGGUUAAGCCCGAUGAACCUGAAUAUCCAAUAUAGAAAAUUCAUCAUUAUGACUCUAAUAUUUUUAAAUAUUAUAAUAAUAGUGUGCAUUUUUUCUAUAGAGGACAUUGUAAUCUAUUGAUAUAAAAGAAAUUUAUUAUAAGAUCGAUUGCGCAAGUUU